rnacentral:rRNA from 1 species
GAUGAACGCUGGCGGCGUGCCUGAGAUAUGCAAGUCGAGCGGGAAUUAUUGAAGUCGCAAGACGGAUAUAGUUCCAGCGGCGGACGGCUGAGUAACACGUAAGAAUCUUCCCCAGAGUCUCACACAGCUCACCGAAAGGUGGGGUAAUUUGAGAUGGUCUGUACAGAUUUAUCUGUAUUGUAAAGCCGCAAGGCGCUUUGGGAUGAGCUUGCGUCCUAUCAGGUAGUUGGUGAGGUAAAAGCUCACCAAGCCUACGACGGGUAGCUGGCCUCAUGAGGGUGGUCAGCCAGAGGGGGACUGAGACACGGCCCCCACUCCUACGGGAGGCAGCAAUCAGGAAUAGUCGGCAAUGGACGAAAGUCUGACCGCGCGACGCCGCGUGUAGGAUGAAGCUUCACAAGAGUGUAAACUACUGUGGUAGGGGAAAAGAAAGGAUUGUACCCUACUAGAAAGCAGCCGCUAACUGCGUGCCAGAAGCGUCGGUAAUACGUGGGCUGCGAGCGUUAUCCGGUGUCAUUGGGCGUAAAGAGUCGUGUAGGUGGGUAUAUAAGUCACUUUUUAAAUCUCUGGGCUCAACCCAGAAACUUGAAGUGAUACUGUAUGUCUUGAGGAUUUUUUAGGGAGAACGGAAUUGUGGGAGGAGUAGUGAAAUGCGUUGAUACCCACGAGAACUCCAGUGGCGAAGGCGGUUCUCUGGAAAGAUCCUGACACUGAGACACGAAAGUUAGGGGAGCGAAGCAGAUUAGAGACCUGCGUAGUCCUAACUGUAAACGAAUGUAUGCUGGCUGCAUGAGGUUGGACUUUGGUCAUUAGUCGCUUUUAUUCAUAAGAAAGAUGGGUAUGAGCGGCUGAAGGCUAACGGCUAAAGUCCAAUCUCGUGUGGCGAAGGUAACCCGUUAAGCAUACCGCCUGGGGAGUACGGCCGCAAGGUUGAAACUCAAAGGAAUUGGCGGGGAGGCACACAACCAGAGGAACAUGUGGUUUAAUUCGACACAAAACGAAGAACCUUACCAAGGCUUGACAUGCUAGCGUUCUAUUUCCUGGAAACAGGAGAAAUCCGCAAGGAGGCUAGCACCGGUGAUGCAUGGCUGUCGUCAGUUCGUUCCGUGAGGAGUGCCCUUAAGUGGGACAACGAACGCAACCCCUGUCGUCUGUUAUAAGUGUCAGACGAUACUGCCCUACAGUUUUGUGGGGAGGAAGGCGGGGCAGACGUCAAGUCAGCACGUCCCUUAUGUCUUGGGCUACACACAUGUUACAAUGAACCAUAACAAUGAGCAUUGCGAGCCAGCGAUGGCAAGCUAAUCUCACAAAUUGGUCCUCAGUGGGGAUUGGAGUCUGCAACUCGACUCCAUGAACUUGGAUUUGGUAGUAAUCGCGGGUCAGCUAUACCGCGGUGAAUACGUUCUUGCCUCUUGCACACACCGCCCGUCAAACCAACAAAGUCGGAGAUAUAUGAACUGCGGCGCACGCCGUGGGAGUAUAUAGUCGGCGAUGAGGGUU